rnacentral:rRNA from 1 species
AGUGAACGCUGGCGGUAGGCCUAACACAUGCAAGUCGAACGGCAGCACAGUAAGAGCUUGCUCUUACGGGUGGCGAGUGGCGGACGGGUGAGGAAUACAUCGGAAUCUACUUUUUCGUGGGGGAUAACGUAGGGAAACUUAUGCUAAUACCGCAUACGAUCUACGGGUGAAAGCAGGGGAUCUUCGGACCUUGCGCGAUUGAAUGAGACGAUGUCGGAUUAGCUAGUUGGCGGGGUAAAGGCCCACCAAGGCGACGAUCCGUAGCUGGUCUGAGAGGAUGAUCAGCCACACUGGAACUGAGACACGGUCCAGACUCCUACGGGAGGCAGCAGUGGGGAAUAUUGGACAAUGGGCGCAAGCCUGAUCCAGCAAUGCCGCGUGGGUGAAGAAGGCCUUCGGGUUGUAAAGCCCUUUUGUUGGGAAAGAAAAGCAGCAGGUUAAUACCCCGCUGUUCUGACGGUACCCAAAGAAUAAGCACCGGCUAACUUCGUG